rnacentral:lncRNA from 1 species
CCUACCCCGAAAAAUGGCCGGAAGUGGCCGGAUUUGAAAUUCCCAAACCGGCCAAAACCUAGGGUUUUAAUUCCUAUUUCCUAUAGCGAAAAUUCAAGAAAUCCUAACCAACCAUCAGCUAGAGCACAAAAAAUAGUCGAGAAAUCAUACCUCAGGCGUCGGAAAUGGUGGCCGGAGGAGAGAGAAAACGGCCGGCGACGAAUCGGGAAAAAUCGCCUAUGUGCGACGGCAGGCUCGACGGCGACGGCAGGGGCGGCUACGGAACGAGCGGAGGUGGCUGAGGUGACGGCGGAGACAGAGGGCUGAGGUGACGGCGGAGAGAGAGGGAGGAACGGAGAAAAACCAGAAAAUGGGGAAGAAGGAGGCAUCGGGCCGUUUCUGCAAAUUUGUACGACUUUGCGCGACGAAGAACAUCUUCCGUCGCGCAAAAUGCAAUUAAUGAAUCUUGCGCGACGAAAUAUCCGUGGCGCAAGUUCUCC